GAGAGGCAUCAUCUUCGUCCUCCAAAAGACCAGUUCGCGAGCCCCCCGAACCUCUGAAGAUGCCAUGGCCGGACCUCGUUGCGAGUAGGCGCUGGUCCGGCAUUGCCUUGGCUGCAAGAACGACUCGGUCCCCGACUUUGAGGUAUUCCAACGAGGCCAGACACUGCGACUCCUCUUGCAUCGCAAGUUGGUAGCUACAACCAAGCAAAGUAACUAGCUCCAUGGCGAGGAUUUGGUUGCGAAAAGUGUCCACCGGAGCUCUCGGGACCAGAUGGAGUAGUUCUCCGGCUCCGAGAGUUGCUGCGAAAUCAAGCAGAGCUUUGGUUGGCGGUGGUCGUAUAUAGAGGGUCUCCCGGCUCAGGCCGGCUGCCGGAGGUACCUGCGAAGGGAAAGAAACCAGGUCCGAAGCCCCGGUAAGGAAAACGAGUCAGACCCAAACCAUUCUGGUUCGAGUAAGGCACCGGUCCGGAUCUGGAAUUGCUUACCUCCAGUUUCUACAUUCAUCAGUGUCGAAUUCUCAAUGAUGCUUCCUCCCUCACGUAUCAUGGUUCGCGUCCAUUUGAUUUCAUGUGCAUUGAAAAUCUUUUCCCGUGCGGGGUAGAUGUUCCCCUUGCUUUUGUUUAGUAGUUUGUUGUACUUUAACAACCUUUGAUCUGCUUUUCUCUGGAAACAUUGAAAGUAGUGGUCUGCAAACAGGGUAGACUUUGUGCUGUAUCAUUAUUUCCUAUCACUUUCUAUUGUGCUGAA